UGGGGAAUAUUGGACAAUGGGCGAAAGCCUGAUCCAGCCAUGCCGCGUGUGUGAAGAAGGUCUUCGGAUUGUAAAGCACUUUAAGUUGGGAGGAAGGGCAGUAAGUUAAUACCUUGCUGUUUUGACGUUACCGACAGAAUAAGCACCGGCUAACUCUGUGCCAGCAGCCGCGGUAAUACAGAGGGUGCAAGCGUUAAUCGGAAUUACUGGGCGUAAAGCGCGCGUAGGUGGUUUGUUAAGUUGGAUGUGAAAGCCCCGGGCUCAACCUGGGAACUGCAUCCAAAACUGGCAAGCUAGAGUACGGUAGAGGGUGGUGGAAUUUCCUGUGUAGCGGUGAAAUGCGUAGAUAUAGGAAGGAACACCAGUGGCGAAGGCGACCACCUGGACUGAUACUGACACUGAGGUGCGAAAACGUGGGGAGCAAACAGGAUUAGAUACCCCCGUAGUCCCUGAGCGGGCUGGCAAGGCGCAU
rnacentral:rRNA from 1 species